rnacentral:rRNA from 1 species
GACGAACGCUGGCGGCGUGCUUAACACAUGCAAGUCGAACGGAAAGGCCCUGCUUUUGUGGGGUGCUUGAGUGGCGAACGGGUGAGUAACACGUGAGUAACCUGCCCUUGACUUUGGGAUAACUUCAGGAAACUGGGGCUAAUACCGGAUAGGAGCUCCUGCUGCAUGGUGGGGGUUGGAAAGUUUCGGCGGUUGGGGAUGGACUCGCGGCUUAUCAGCUUGUUGGUGGGGUAGUGGCUUACCAAGGCUUUGACGGGUAGCCGGCCUGUGAGGGUGACCGGCCACAUUGGGACUGAGAUACGGCCCAGACUCCUACGGUGGGCAGCAGUGGGGAAUAUUGCACAAUGGGCGGAAGCCUGAUGCAGCAACGCCGCGUGCGGGAUGACGGCCUUCGGGUUGUAAACCGCUUUCGCCUGUGACGAAGCGUGAGUGACGGUAAUGGAUAAAGAAGCACCGGCUAACUACGUG